rnacentral:rRNA from 1 species
UACGUAGGGAGCAAGCGUUGUCCGGAAUCAUUGGGCGGAAAGCGCGCGUAGGCGGCCCUGUAAGUCCGUUGUGAAAGUCAAAGGCUCAACCUUUGAAAGCCGAUGGAUACUGCAGGGCUAGAGUUCGGAAGAGGCGAGUGGAAUUCCUGGUGUAGCGGUGGAAUGCGCAGAUAUCAGGAGGAACACCAAUAGCGAAGGCAGCUCGCUGGGACGAUACUGACGCUAAGGCGCGAAAGCGUGGGGAGCAAACGGG